GAAGAUAGCACUUCAGUUUGAGCAAACCGAGCCGAUCCGAACCUUGGAUGAAUAUAUUUGUGCAGAAUUUGAGACAUACAGAAUUACCAUAGGCCCAUUAGAAUCAACAAUCUUUGCAAAACUGGAUCCGCACUACAGAACUUAUGAAGAUGUUUGCAUACUGAAGAAGAGUGCUUGGACAAAUACUGAAACCCUCUUGGUGCCCACUACACAGACUAAUGAAAUUGAAGUAUCCAAAUGAAGACCCUAGCAGAUACAGACGUUGGCAGCAAUCAGGAGGUGAUCCAGAAGACUCGUGGGAAUCUAUUUGAAGCUGCAUCAUUGAAGACAGUUCAGCAGAAGUUGGAGUGUUAAAGGAUAAAGUUCUUCAGGACCUAGCAGUUUACAGUCUGCAAAACCAUGUUGCUGGGACUGAUAUAUGGACUGAACUUGAGCAACCCUCCUGAACUCAGGUACAAGUUUGGAGUACUGAAGAAGUUAUUUCUGGAGCCAGUUCCUGUUCCUGGAAUAAGGUUUGAUUGGUUACCCAUGAAU